rnacentral:lncRNA from 1 species
UCCAGCUCCAUCUCGUUGUUCGCGAGUCGUGUUCGGCUCGAAAUGGGCUCGAGAUCGAAAAUAUCGUUUAAUAAACGAGUCAAACACCAAUUCAAUUUUUCAGCUCGAAAUAUUAAAGAGCUGAAUAAGAGCUCGGGUCAGUCUGCUCAUAUUUGGCGCAAUAUAACUCGAGUAAAUUGAACGUGAAAUAAGCUUGAGAUCGAUUGACUCAUUUAAUAAAUAAGUUGAAAACGAGCUAAAUUUUUCAACUCAAAAUUUUGACGGGUAGAAACGGUGAAAGGGUAGAUCUAACGGCAGAAAAUUCGAUAGUACCAAGAGUUUGGAACUAUCAAUAGUAUAGUAGCCGAACUCUGUAUAGUUAAGCUAGAAUAUUAUUAGUAACAAACGAGCUUCGUUGCCACCAAUUUAUUUUCAAUGAUGGAACUGUUGGCUAAAAAGAACUAGCAUCCUGCCUUGUGGCGGGAGGCUAUGUUAGGCCGAAUCAUGUUCGAAAUUAUGUGAUGUUAGGUGGGCCGAAUCAUGUUCGAAAUGGUAUGAGGCUGGGUGGGUCGAGUCACAAUCGAGAUCCGUGAGAGCUGUAUCUGUACAUUUUAAGUGAAUUUAUUGUAUAUUUCUAAAAGCUCGAGCUUUUGGAAUUAAUGGUUAGCGCCAACGAUCCAACAAGUGGUAUCAAAGCCAGAAGUUACGGGUUCGAUUCCCGCAUUCUGCAAAUAUGUGUAGCUGCUAGAGAGAGGAUUGUUGGCUUAAAUGGGCCAGCAUCCUGUCUUGUGGCAGGAGGUUAUGUUCGACCGAGCCAUGUUCGAAAUGGCGUAAGGCUAGGUGGACCGAGUCAUGUUCGAAGUGGCGUAAGGCUAGGUGGAUCGAGUCAUGUUCGAAGUGGCGUAAGGUUGGAUCGGCCGAAUCACAAUCGAGACCCGUAGGCGUUGUAUCUGUAAGCUUUAAAUGAAUUUGUUACAUAUUUCUAACAGCUCGAACUUUUGGAAUUAAUGGUUAGUGCCAACGAUCCGACAGGAGCCUUCAAAUCGAUAAUCAGUACCAUUAAACUUGAUCUAUACAACUUGAAAUAUUAUCACCUUUGUACUUAUAAGUCAUUUUUGAUGAUAGAGCUUUUGAAUUAACGAUCCAUACUGUUAAAUAUUAUCUAGAACAUUUAAAACUUUUAGAAAUUAAAUUUUAUAAUUUUUCGACAUUAUUUAGCUUACGAUCAAAAGAUCUCAAUAUUGAAAAUUUUUAACAACCGGCACAAAAUACUUGCUAGUGUAAUGGUACAAAAGAAUUGAAAUUGGUUGAAUUUUUGAUAAAAAAUUUUAUUCAUUAUCUAGAAAAAAAAUCGAUAACUCUGAUCUUAAAUUGAUGUAUUCGUUCCUCUAUUUUUAUAAAAUCGUUUGAUUUUGACCAUUCAAUUUAUCCCUGCUUGAUGGACAUUAUUAUAAUUUUACAAAUUAUGAAAUUUUUUUUGCAAAAAUUUCAAAUACUCUAAAUUAUAUUUAAUAGUAUGGUCAUCAAUUCGAAAGCUUCAUUAUCGAAAAUAACUUCUGAAUAUGAAGGGCGUCAUACUCAUAAGAGUAUAGUAGCACUACUCUAUAUAGAUAUAUAUAGAGAGAGAGAGAGAGAGAGAGAGACCAGCUAUGGUCUUUUUAAAAGCACAAAACACUUGGUGUUUCUAAGUUUUUGCUCCAUUAGAUCUAUCUUUUUUACCAUUUUCAUCCGUUAAAUUAUAUUAUUCAAUCCACUACCUACUCAACCCUAUUGGACUACUAUCAUUCUAACUACACAUCCCUUCAUCUCAGAGCCAAAAACCUACAAGCACCAAUGGUUUGGCACUUUUAAACACUUAGGAAUACUAUAUUAUACUAUAUAUAUAUAUAUGAUAUUAUAUUAUACUAGUUGAAUGUACGUGCAAAUGCACGUAAUAAUUAUUAUAAUUUAUUUUAAAUUAAUAUAAAUUUGUACAUUAUAUAUAUUCAAAAUUUUAUAAUAAAAAUCAUAUUCAUAAACUAAUAUGUUAUAUUUUAUUAAAAAAUAUUAACAAUAUCCUACAGUAUUUUUUUUAAUAUAUAUCGAAUAUUUUUAUAUACCUUUUGAUUUUUGAUGAAUCAAAUUUAAAUAUGUGUCUUAAACUAAAAGCAUCAAAAUUUAAUUUUCAUUUACUUUAAAAUUUAAAAUUUAAUUUUGAUCCGCUGUAAUAAAAAAAUUAACUAUUAAUUCAAAUUUGAUAUCAAAAAUUAAAUUGAAUCCAUAAUUUAAACUUAAAUUUUAAUUUUAAUGUAAAAUAGAUGAAUAAGAAUACUAUUUUUUAAUAAUUUGAUCAUAAUCGUUUGUUUUUAUUUGAGAUAUUUUUUUAACAAAUUGACUAUAACAAUUUGUAGAAAAUAGAUUUUUAUAUAUAGUAGAGAUUUAAUAGAUUCAUCAUAACCGUUAAUUUUUAUUUGAAAUAUUUUUAACAAAUUAAUCAUAACCAUUCGUAGGAAAUAUUAUUUUAUUUCUUUUUUAUUCCGUCUGUCAUUGUCGGAAUUCCUAUACGACUAUAGAUUAUAACUUUCAUAAAUUAGAUCAAUUUUUAAUACUUUGCGUCUAAACUUUUAUUAAAAUUUU